GCAAUUAUGGCUUGUAGGUACAAUCUCUUUCUGCCUUUUUCUUCGCUGAGAAUUGCAGUCUCAUAUUUUCUCUGUAACUUUCGUCCUUGGUUUUUCUCUGUCCUUCUGUUUAUCUAGUUUUUACUUUUGUUCAAUUGCCUUUUGCAUUUAUUAUUGCAUUUCAAGGCAGAGCCGGUAUGAGGUGAAUAUGUCCCCUUUUUAUUUUGUAUUUAAGG
rnacentral:lncRNA from 1 species